rnacentral:rRNA from 1 species
GUGGGUAGUUUGACUGGGGCGGUCUCCUCCCAAAGCGUAACGGAGGAGCACGAAGGUUAGCUAAUCCUGGUCGGACAUCAGGAGGUUAGUGCAAUGGCAUAAGCUAGCUUGACUGCGAGCGUGACGGCGCGAGCAGGUGCGAAAGCAGGUCAUAGUGAUCCGGUGGUUCUGAAUGGAAGGGCCAUCGCUCAACGGAUAAAAGGUACUCCGGGGAUAACAGGCUGAUACCGCCCAAGAGUUCAUAUCGACGGCGGUGUUUGGCACCUCGAUGUCGGCUCAUCACAUCCUGGGGCUGAAGUAGGUCCCAAGGGUAUGGCUGUUCGCCAUUUAAAGUGGUACGCGAGCUGGGUUUAGAACGUCGUGAGACAGUUCGGUCCCUAUCUGCCGUGGGCGCUGGAGAAUUGAGGGGGGCUGCUCCUAGUACGAGAGGACCGGAGUGGACGCAUCACUGGUGUUCGGGUUGUCAUGCCAAUGGCACUGCCCGGUAGCUAAAUGCGGAAGAGAUAAGUGCUGAAAGCAUCUAAGCACGAAAC